AUGGUCAGCAGCGGUUUUGGGAAGCCCUCCCAUGGGUGCAAGGGAGCACGAGAGCCCCCAGGGGCAGCACACAAUGGGAAAAACCUGGUUCCCUGGGACAACUUCUCCCGGCUGCUUUCAGAGCAUCAUUGCCAGCGACUCCCGCUACUGCUGCCCUCCAGGCCCAGCUCCAGCAGAGAGGUGCAUCCGUCCCUCGACAGAGGGAUAAUGGGAUCCAGGAUGCAUGUGAAUUCAUUCAGCUCCAGAGCUGGAACAAUUGCUGUUUCGUUACAUAAAAUAAGAACAUUAAACCUGAUGGCAAUUCCAGAGCAUAACAUUUCAGGGAAGCCAUGGAAGUGGUGGAGCAGCUAUCUUCGACCCUUGGUCCAUCAUAAAUGGGGAAAGAGAUGUUUGUCUGAAAGGGAGAAAUUCACCGUGCUUCUGGAGGCAGCUGCUGCUUUGAUUUACACAGCAGCCUCCUGCUCUGCUGUGCUCCUCCAGCGCUGGCUUUUGGGGCUCCCACAGCUGACAAGGAGGUGCACCAAGCAGUACAUGGAAUGAUUUGAGGAAGAAAUACCAACGUAGGUCUGUGCCAAGCCUUGUGAGGGAGCUAGGUGGGAAGAGCUCUACCCUGAACAGGCUCCCUGGGUGUAUUAUGUACACAGACCACCCUGGUCUUCUCCUCGUUCACUCUCCAAAAUGCCCAACUUUUCCCAUCUGACUGCAGCAUUUUCAUUCACAGCUUCAGAGCAGGCAGGGAUACAUUUUUCUCGGGUGCUGUACAAGCACCUACCUUCUCAACGUGCUCGCUGCUGUCUCGUGCUGCUGUCAGAGCUGUGGUGCUCCUGUCACUCCCUAUGAGCUGUGGUUUAAGGCCCUUUUAAAUCCCAGCGACCAGAGCCUGGCAGCAGAGGUGGCUUCCUGCUAGGGGUGAUGGGUCCCACUCUCCAUCUGCCGAGUCCGCAAGCAAAGAUAAUCCCCUGCCCGUCACAGCGUCCGACCUGCCCCGUGCCCCGAGGGGAAUCACACAAAGCACACAGGACUGCGGGCAGCGGGGUGCCCUUGUCACCUACAGGAGAGAGCCAGGGAAAUGAGUUAAAAUGGAUUUAAGGCCGGGUUUUGCUUUGGAGGAGCUGUGGCCUGGUGUCUCGUCUUCAUGCAGAUUCUGUCAGCUUUGAAACAGUUGAGUUUGGACCCUUCCUAAUAACACAUCCAGUAUUUCAUGCUGUGCUAAUGACAGAUGUAAUAUCACACUUAAAAUAAAUAAUUGGCACUUUUAAAAGCA
rnacentral:lncRNA from 1 species